UACGGAAGGCAGCAGUGGGGAAUAUUGCACAAUGGGCGAAAGCCUGAUGCAGCUAUGCCGCGUGUAUGAAGAAGGCCUUAGGGUUGUAAAGUACUUUCAUCGGGGAGGAAAAAACAAAACUAAUAAUUUUAUUUCUUGACGUUACCCGAAAAAGAAGCACCGGCUAACUCCGUGCCAGCAGCCGCGGUAAUACGGAGGGUGCUAGCGUUAAUCAGAAUUACUGGGCGUAAAGAGCACGUAGGUGGUUUUUUUAAGUUCAGAUGUGAAAUCCCUGGGCUUAACCUAGGAACUGCAUUUUGAAACUGAAAUACUAGAGUAUCGUAGAGGGAGGUAGAAUUCUAGGUGUAGCGGUGAAAUGCGUAGAUAUCUGGAGGAAUACCUGUGGCGAAAGCGGCCUCCUAAACGAAUACUGACACUGAGGUGCGAAAGCGUGGGGAGCGAAACAGGGAUUAGAUACC
rnacentral:rRNA from 1 species